AACGAACGCUGGCGGCAUGCCUAACACAUGCAAGUCGAACGAGAGCUUCGGGCCUAGUGGCGCACGGGUGCGUAACGCGUGGGAACAUGCCUUUAGGUUCGGAAUAACUUCCCGAAUGGGGUCCUAAUACGGGCUCUAGUCUCCCGUCCAAAGGUUUAUCGAAUUUGGAUGGGCUGGCGUUGGAUUACCUAGUUGGUAGGGUAAAAGGCUACAAAGGCGACGUUCCAUAGCUGGUCAGUGAGGAUGGUCCCCCACACUGGGAGUGGGACACGGCCCAGACUCCUACGGGAGGCAGCAGUGGGGAAUAUUGGACAGUGGGCUGAAGCCUGAAGCAGCAAUGCCGCGUGAGUAAUGAAGGCCUUGGGGAUGGAAAGUACUUUUACCCGGGAUGAUAAUGACGGUACCAGGAGAAUAAGCUCCGGCUAACUCCGUG
rnacentral:rRNA from 1 species